rnacentral:rRNA from 1 species
AACGAACGCUGGCGGCAUGCCUAACACAUGCAAGUCGAACGAGACCUUCGGGUCUAGUGGCGCACGGGUGCGUAACGCGUGGGAAUCUGCCCUUAGGUUCGGAAUAACUUCGGGAAACUGAAGCUAAUACCGGAUGAUGACGUAAGUCCAAAGAUUUAUCGCCUAAGGAUGAGCCCGCGUUGGAUUAGCUAGUUGGUGAGGUAAAGGCUCACCAAGGCGACGAUCCAUAGCUGGUCUGAGAGGAUGAUCAGCCACACUGGGACUGAGACACGGCCCAGACUCCUACGGGAGGCAGCAGUGGGGAAUAUUGGACAAUGGGCGAAAGCCUGAUCCAGCAAUGCCGCGUGAGUGAUGAAGGCCUUAGGGUUGUAAAGCUCUUUUACCCGGGAUGAUAAUGACAGUACCGGGAGAAUAAGCUCCGGCUAACUCCGUGCCAGCAGCCGCGGU